GGUACAAGCUGUUUCAAGGCUUAACAGCUAGAGACUGGAAGAACCUCCUCCCCGAGGAUCUAGAAUUAAAAUAAAGGACUGAACUUUGCACGGGAAGAAAAAGGAACAAACUUGCCUAUCCAAAGGCAUAUCACAGUGGCAACAGCACCAGAACUGGGGGAAGAACACAACGGGGCCAUCCUGGAACAUGCUGCUAGUUCUGGCUCUGCAUGGGGCAGAGAAGUCCACUGAGGCAUUGCUCACACAGAACUACUUCUGCUCUGGAACAUCCCACAUCUGCAGAGAGCUCCAGGACCCUGUGACCAGCAGCUCCAGACCCUGAGGAAGCUGCUAAAAUAAAUUUGAUAUUACCAGGAUGAAACAAAUAUUUAAAGUAUUCAGAAUAGUUCUGGCAGAAUUAUUAACUAGAUAUUAAAGACCCUGGUUCAACACCUGCUCUGUUGUUUUGCCUAUGAUAGGAAACAGAAGUGGUAAAUAGCUGAACCAGGGCAACAGGCAGCAGGAAAACAGAA